ACGCCGGUGUGCGAGCCACGGCCCAGCAGCCCCGACUAUUCAUGGGCAUGAUCCUGAUCCUCAUCUUCCCCGAGGUGCUCGGCCUGUACGGUCUCGUCGUUGCCCUCAUCCUCUCCACAGAGUAGCCCCUCUCCGAGCCCACCAGCCACCGAAUAUGAUGUAAAAACCACCCCUCCUCAUUCCAGAACGAAGAGCCUGACACACACGCACGGGACCGCGGCCCCCAGUAGUUGAUCUUGUACAUGCGCAGCGCAGCGUCCUAGUGCCGGUUGUCUGUUGCCCUGGCCUUGCCCCCACCCCACCCCCCACGCCGCCCCGUGCCAUGGACAUCUGGGUCCACUCAUCGCCCCUCCAGGCCCCCGGUGCCCCACCCCCUAGAGUGCUCUGUGUAUUCGGAUGACUUAGAGUUGUCAUUUCUCUUCACUGGAUGUUUAUUUAUAAAGAUCUGGCCUGUUCCCGCGUCUGCGGAGAGGCCCUGGUCUCCCAGCUGUCUAUAACCUUAGCUAGAGUGUGGCCUUGUGGGCUCCUGUUGCUGAGACCUCCUGGAUGGAGCUGCCCUCGCCACCGGGCCCUUGGCCCUGCACGGAGCUCUGUCCAAUAAAGUUCUCGGAUUUGGGGG